AAAACUUUGCACCAGGACCCUAGUGCAGACAAUUUAAUUAGGUCCUAUAUUUCAUUUAGAAAGACUUUUGGUUAUAACAUCAUGUCUCUUUCCGGAGUCUCCCAUUGGGCUGGACCCAACCGAAGCUGGAGAGCAAGGAUGUCCAAGUGAUAGAGUCUGAGGCACCGAGCAGGGUGCAGACAGCUGGAGCGUGGGUUUGGAGGAAUAUCCAGCACACAUCCAAGCCUGGAAGUGAGGAAUGAUUAACAAAACAGACACUACCUGACACAUAUGUGACCGAGAAUCUAAACUCAAUGAUUUUCUAUUUCCCACUUUUCUGCUCUCCAGCCUUUACCAAGAGACCGCCCCCCCACCCCCUGAGUUAUGUGACUUUGCAGAGCUGUUUGUUUUAUAUCUUUUAUUAUGUUGGAAUGCAACUCGCUGGAUUUUAAGAAGAAUGCAUCGGUCUCCAGGAACACAAAACAAACAGAAACAGCCCAGUUCCUGCCACUGUCCAGGAAUUAUCUUGCCAUUCACAAGCUCCAUCAAAAACAGCCUAACGGUCGCUGGGGCCAGCUGCACCACAGGUACCACCGACUACUGAUGAGAGCUCGGACCCGGGCAUCGCAAAAUUAGGUUCUGAUUCCAACUUUGCCACAAAUUAGCCAUGUAUCAUUGGUCAAAUCAAAGAAUAUUUCCUAGAUUAACUUUGGUCAUCUGGAAAAUAGGGUGCAUGAAAUCCAUCUGUGAUCCCUCAAAUACUGCCUUGACAUAAACAGAGUAAGAGUGGUAGAGGAGGUCUAGUUGUCUUCACAGGAAAUGGAGGCUAAGGGGACAUGGGUUGGACCUUGAAGAUCCCAAUUGUGUCCCAGGACCUGGUUCUCGGUUUUUUAAGCCACAGAAACUCACUCUUGUUUGGGACCAGGGGAUGCCAUGCCUUGACUCAUCUUAACUAAACACCCACGAAAGCUGAGGUAGAGAGUGUAAUGCCCGUUUAUGGUUGCUCUGUCAUCUGAGUAGGCACUGCGCACUUGUCCUUCAGUCACUGCACCAGGUUCCUUGGGUCUAGAGCCCUUUCCAAUGAGAUCACCCCCACCUGGACACCUUCUACACAGUGUUCUGGAGUCCCUACUGCCCCACCCAAAUCACACAGGAGACUGAGGUAGCAGUCACAAUGCCAGUGUAUUGCUUUACAAUUAGAAAUUGAAGAGCACUUACGCAAUCAGCACCUUCUCUCCAGCUGCAUGGGAAAUUUAACUGCAAUCACAAGCCAUUUCCUUUAUUGUAUGCAGUCCCUCUCUAGGGGCCUAAUGUACUCAAAGGCUGGAGACGAGACAUUCCCUUGACACUAGGCAGACCUACACUGAGAACCCAAAUCCUAACUAGAGGCUUUUAGUGAGUGUAGAAAUGGAACAAAGGAAGUUCUGCUUGAUCGCGCAAGGAAAGAUGGCCUGGUAAUGCAUCCAUCGCACCCACAGAUGUCCUUGGAACCCUAGAAUCCUGCGGCCAUGCUUCUAGAAACUUUGCCAUUGGAAGUGGAAAUAUCGUCUGCCCAAUAUCUAAGUCCCCUUCCCUCCAAAAUUACUGAGGAUGUCUGUCUGAGCCCGUUUCUACUGGGGACAGAUUCCCCUCCCCAACCCCUUUUUCCUCAACAUCUUGCUUUCUUUUCUCAGACAUGUUUAACCAAGCUACAAUCUCCUGGAGAGCUAUUUUCUCUGUCGCAGAUGACUUGCUUAUUUAUGCUCAGAUCCAAUCUGUGUGGAUUUCAGAGUUAAGUUCUGAGGGAGAGUCCCACUUCAAAUUUGGAGUAAGCCUUAAACACCAACAGCUGAAUUAAAAUUUCGUUGCUCUGCUGCUCAGCCAAGCCCUCUGUGAAAUAUGCUGUUAAAGGGCUGCUGCUCCUUCACGUCCCUCUUAUGAUGAAUGCGAGUUGAUUGUGUUGGUCCCCAAAUCCAUUUAUGUCAAUUGUACUGGGUAUUGUAAUUUUAUCAUUUAAGUUAUAUUAAAAAUAUGAGUAUGA